rnacentral:rRNA from 1 species
UACAGAGGGGGCAAGCGUUGUUCGGAAUUACUGGGCGUAAAGGGCGCGUAGGCGGCCUGCUAAGUCGAACGUGAAAUCCCUGGGCUCAACCCAGGAACUGCCUUCGAUACUGGCGAUCUUGAGUCCGGGAGAGGUGAGUGGAACUCCGAGUGUAGAGGUGAAAUUCGUAGAUAUUCGGAAGAACACCAGUGGCGAAGGCGGCUCACUGGCCCGGUACUGACGCUGAGGUGCGAAAGCGUGGGGAGCAAACAGG